rnacentral:rRNA from 1 species
GUCUAACCUGCCCGGUGAGGUGAGCUUAAACGGUCGCAGUUGUACUGUGCUAAGGUAGCGUAAUAGAUCGUCCUUUAAUUGGGGAAAGGUAUGAAUGGUUGGAUGAUGGAAAGACUUUAUUAGAGGUAUGUUUUGAAAUUUACUUCUAGGUGCAAAGGCUUAGAUAUUAAUACUAGACGAGAAGACCCUGUUGAGCUUGGUAAUUGCCUCUAUCAUGUAGAGGUAAUAUGUUUUCUCGGGGCCGAGUGGAAGGGACUUGAUUUCUUCCUAAUUUAAUCAUUGAUCCAGCAUGGCUGAUAGGAGGAAGAUAGUUACCACAGGGAUAACAGCGCAAUCUCUCUGGCGAGGCCAUAUUUGAGGAGGGGGUUGCGACCUCGAUGUUGAAUCAAAGUUUCUAUUAGGUGUAGCAGCUUAGUAAGUGGGACUGUUCGUCCUUUAAAGCUUUACGUGA